AAAAAUUUCCUUCUUCUUCGUACAUGCGUUCAUCCCUCGAAAAACCAUUCGUUUACACUCGCAUCAGUCAUCUCCUAGGCUCUCGAAAAACCCUCGCAUCAUCUUGCACUGCCAUCAUCUCCAAGUCUUCCGUCGUCCGAUGCUUCUCCUUAUUCCCUCCUCCAUCUGAUGGAUUAGUACGACAGAAUGGAGAAGCCUAGGGUUGAGAUUUUUUGUGUGAAUGGUGGAAAAAAUCGGGGUAUCUGGAAUUUCAAGGACAAGGUGCGGAGGCUACGUUUCAAUAUGGUAAUGCAGAAGUUCAAUGGGGCAAGUGAAUUUUAUGGUGGUAUGUUAUGUGACACGACAUGAAUUUCAAGUAGUUCUAUAUGCUAACUUAAAUUUGAACUCAUCAAUAAGUGCAAAAGCCAAAGAAUAGGACUCAAUUUGUUGCAUAUCAAUAUGUAUCAAUAAAGUGAUUAAUUUCAACAAUGGAUAGAGUAAGAUUGUUUGGAGACCCUUGAGACUAGAAAUCUUUUUUCACACGAGAUUUUCGGAGAAAUUUGAUUCGUGGAGUUGAACUUGUGUUGA